CUCGGUAGCUCAGUCGGCAGAGCGCGUGCCUUUUAGCCCGUGGCCGCGGGUUCGAGCCCCGCCCGAG
rnacentral:tRNA from 1 species